GAAUAAUGAAAGAAGGCUAAGGAAGUCUACUCAUGUUCCCAUUCUAGAGGAGAAUAAUGAAGAAGUUUCAGAUGAAGUUCCAUAAAAAGAAGACAUCUGCUAUUCAUAUUAAGCUGGGAAAAGUUCUUAG